rnacentral:rRNA from 1 species
GACGGGUGAGUAAUACAUCGGAACGUGUCCGCUCGUGGGGGACAACCAGCCGAAAGGUUGGCUAAUACCGCAUGAGUUCUACGGAAGAAAGAGGGGGACCCGCAAGGGCCUCUCGCGAGCGGAGCGGCCGAUGACUGAUUAGCCUGUUGGUGAGGUAACGGCUCACCAAAGCAACGAUCAGUAGCUGGUCUGAGAGGACGACCAGCCACACUGGGACUGAGACACGGCCCAGACUCCUACGGAAGGCAGCAG